GGCUGGGGGAGGAGACUGUCAUUUUAAAUGGCUUAGUCAGGGAAAGUGACAUUUGAGCAAAGGCUUGAAGUCGGGGAGGGCUCUCUGACAUCCACUCGAUGGAUGGUCGAAUGCUCAAGCAUCUACCAAGAGCUUGGAAUGUGCUCCUGUGCUCACAGAAGAGCAUCUGGGGCUGACAGAGGGGGACCAUGGAGGAGAUGAGCCCCCGUGCAGCGCUUGUACCGGAAACGAGUGGCCUGAGCCCAGGGACAAGGAAACCGAGAAGCGAAUCCCGAGAGCCGGUGUCUGCUGGUCACCGGCCCGGAGCCAUCAAAGGAAUCACGGGCAGUGACUAGACUGGGCGAUUCCAGAGAUGCAUCCCAGCCCAGCCAGUGUGUGAACCUCGGGCACAUCCUGGUCGAAUGGACAAUGACAGCAUGUGGGAGAAAGCCUUUUUUGGAAAGCCAAACUGAACGCUGGAGUAUCUGAGGGAGAUGCACCCUGGGCUAUUUGGAGUGAACUGUCAUAAUGUCUGCAACUUACUUUGACAUGGCCAAACGUCUCCAUUCUGGUCGAUGGGCAUCUGAGUGUCCCUUGUGCCUCUCCUUCACCUUCUCUCUCUGUUUUAAUCUUUUUACAAUAAAAAGUUGAGAAAGCCGGCAAGAUCCAAGUUCCAUUUUUUCCCCCAGGGGAAGCCUGUUUACAGGUCUGAGUUCCCCUUUGGCCUGGGAAGUCUCGGUGGCCACAGCCAGGGGCCGGUCACCAGAGGCCGGGGCCAGGCAGCUUCCUGUGGCCUAGAAUCAAUGCCCUCACCAGAUGUCUCGCUAACUGCUAACCAGGGCUAAAUAUAGGUUAGAGUAGGAACCUACCAAUUAUACAU